GACGAACGCUGGCGGCGUGCUUAACACAUGCAAGUCGAACGAUGAAGUUCCUUCGGGAAUGGAUUAGUGGCGAACGGGUGAGGAACACGUGAGAAACCUGCCUUUCAUUUUGGGAUGACUCCGGGAAACCGGGGCUAAAACCGAAUACUCCGUCUCGGCGGCAUCGCGGAGCCGGGGAAAAUUUUGAUGAAAGAUGGUCUCGCGGCGUAUCAGCUAGGUGGGGAGGUAAGGGAUCCCCAAGGCAACGACGGGUAGCCGGCCUGGGAGGCGGACCGGCCACACUGGGACUGAGACACGGCCCAGCCUCCUACGGGAGGCAGCAGUGGGGAAUAGUGGGCAAUGGGCGCAAGCCUGACCCAGCGACGCCGCGUGAGGGAUGAAGGCCUUCGGGUUGUAAACCUCUUUCAGUAGGGAAGAAGCGAAAGUGACGGUACCUAAAGAAGAAGCACCGGCUAACUAUGUGCCAGCAGCCGCCGUAA
rnacentral:rRNA from 1 species